AGUUAGUGUGUGCCAAUAUACAAGGUUGAAGUACAUGGAUCAGAAAAUGAAAUUAAGUAUAUUACGGUAAACUGCUGUUUGGAAGUGAAUUCAGUGGCGAACUCGUGUUUCCAGCAGGAGGAGACCGUGUAGGGCAGUGAUGGGAUGCCUGCAAAGGCUAGGCUGGCUGGCUUGAAGACUGGAGCUGGGAACACAGUACAAUGUGAGUGGCAGGUGCUCCAGUUUGCAGAUGGUGUAUCAUGGGACUUUGUGGCUACCGUAAUCGCCAGGGCUGGGCCGGGCUGAAACCAGGAGACCGGAACUUGUCGGGCCCCUCACAUGAAGUUUUUGAGUCAUCACUGUCGCCUCCUGGAGUGCCCACUAAGGGAAGCUGGACUCUGAAGCUGAGGCUUGUUCUGGAAAUUCUGAAAGGUAGAAGUUCACAGCAUCAUGGAGACAAACUCGGCCUGGCAACUGUAGCCUCUCAUGGUAGCGUUCAGAAAAGAGAGAGCCAGUGAUCCUGUGACUCCUUCAAGGUCAUCGAGGUGCUGAGGCCAUGGAGGUCCUUCCUCAUCAAUGACAAAAUCAAGACCAAGUUUCAGUUCCUCCCCAGAUGUGCCCUCACUCUUCAGUGCUGCCUGCCGCGAUGCUGAACGUCAAAGCCUAGAGACAGCAGGUAAUGAUUGAGAUAUUAAUUCAUAGACUAUGCAUGGAGUCAGCACUAAACAAAUUGUUUUCAGGCCUUAACAGAGCUGUAGGUCAUCAGGAAUUUCUGAAGACAGCAAAAAUAUUUGUCUGAAGACAAAUCCUGCCCAUUCCAGUAAAGACGAGGAAAACAGGAAGUUUAAUCAGAGAUCCCAAAGCAGCUUGCUCUUGGUACUUUUCUAAAAAAAAUGUUAUUAUUGAGAUAAAACUCACGCACUGUUAAGACUCACCAUGCUAAGAUAGGAAAGUGCUUUCUGGCAUAUUCCCAGGGCAUGUAACCAUCACCACUCUCUAAUUCUGAAAUAUUCUCAUCACCCUGUUGCUGCUUGUAUGCCAGCUUUGUUGUGUUGAGUGUGGCUGCCCGCAAGCUUGUAUAUUAUGUCCGGCUCCUUGUGUAGUGCUCAUCUUGAGAUGAGAGGAUCGGAGAUCCCAAGUUCACUCUAUUUGGAUGAGUCAAUGCCUACUAAAGAUUUUAUCCCUUAAGGAUGGACCACAGUAGGGGUGAGACAGGCCCUAAGCCUCAGACCAAGCAGUGACAUUUGCUAUGGUUUGAGGGUGUACUCAAGAGUUCACGGCCUGAUGUCUAACCUCAUGGAGAGAGAUUAAGAGAAGGGAACUUAACGUGACCUUGGUGUUUAGAGAAGAGGCCUUUGGGAGGUUGUAAGGAUUAGAUAAGGUUAGAUAAGACCAUGGUCAAGCACUGGUGGCUUUAUAGGAAGAGGGAGAGAGACCAGAAGACACAUGUGAACACAUGUGAACACAUGUGCGUGAGCACACACUCCCUGUCUCUGGCUGGGAUGCCCCUGUCACUCUGAGAUGCUGCCGGCAAGGUCACCCCACCUUGCACCACCAGCACCAUGUGCCAAAUAAGUCACACGUCUUUAUAACAUACUCAGCCUCAGGUACUGCAUCACGGUGAUGAAAAAUGGACUAAUAUAGAAUUAGAACCAGAAAAGCAAAAGUCAGCCACCAAGGCUGAUUUGCAGGGCAAAAUUGGGGAAAUAUUUUUUAAAUAUUUUAAAAUUUUGAAAGAUUUUAUUUAUCUAUUUAUUAAUUAGACAGGCACAGUUACAGACAGAGAGAGAGAAAGAGAGAAAGGCUUCCAUCUGCUUGUUCAUGCCCCAGAUGGCCACAAUGGUUGGAGCUGGGCUGCUCUGGAGCCAGGAGCCAGGAGCCAGGAGCCAGGAGCUUCCUCCGGGUCUCCCACAUGGGUGCAGGGGCCCAAGGACUUGGGCCAUCUUCCACUGCUUUCCCAGGCCAUAGCAGAGAGCUGGAUUGGAAGAGGAGCAGCCGGGACCCAAAUGGGCACCCAUAUGGGAUGCCGGCACUGCAGGCAGCAGCUUUACCUGCUACGCCACAGUGCCGGCCCCCAAGUUGGAGAAAGUUUGCCAAGCCAAAGGUGAACAGAGCUGGGAGUGGGAACUGCGGCUGGCCUAAAAACACUGCAGGCUCUCCACGGGGUCAUCUUCUCCUGCUGUGGGGGCUGAAGCACUUCUUACCCAUCCCUCCCCCCCCCCCCCCCGGGCCUCCAUUUUCCCUUCACCUAAGCCUCCGGGGAUCGGGGAUCGCUGAGCCAGGGAACCUCUGCAGUGGCUGCUCCGUGCGUACCGUGCUGACCCGCGGAGGCCACACCCCUCCACAGACUGCAGGCCUCGGUCCCCACGCGCCUUGCCCUCAGCACUGUCGGGCGCUGUGCUCAGUAAAGCUGUCUUGAGUAAGCUACUCAUUUGGCUGCAUGCUGAUUUCUCUUGAUGAAGCCCUUAAAACUCAAGUUAAAACUGAGCGCUGAGGACGUGCCUGCGCAUCUCACAGUUCUUGGGUGAAUGCAUGGGCCAGUGACAAACCCAGGGGAAGCUGCCUCCCUGCCCCUUUCACUGAGGAGCCCAAGUUUGGCCCAAAGAUAAAGCAAGAAUAGGUCUCCGCCUUCACCCCUAGGAGGAGCCCUCUGGUGCUUGAGUUGAGCUGGUUUGUGCCAGCCUGGCUGUGCCAUCCCCACGCUCCUCGGCUUCCCCAGUUGGUCAACGUCCCUUUGCCUAUGUGGUUCCGGAACUUGACAUGAUGUUCCCAAGUGGUCCCACCAGCUCAGAGAUCAAAAGACUCUUGAUAUGGAUCCAAUGCUUUUAAGAAUUUUUUAUUGCUCAUAUUACCCUUAGGAAGGUCUCAGCAUGUACUGAUUUGAUGUAUGUGUGUGUAUGUGUGUGUGAUGUGAAAAGACAUUUUAUUAAAAAUCUUUGGACAAUUGUCUGCUUUGGGAUUAAAUCAAAUAUGUUGUAAGGAGAAAUAAAACUUCAAGUCAAACACAUCCUUAUGCUGGGCUCCCCUCCCCUUUAUUAGAUAAACACACACACACACACACACACACACCCUUAGGAAUAAGCAGAUUACAAUCUCGUAUCAGACUGAAAUCAUAAAGAUGUACGGAUUUUUUUAAAGGUCUUCCUUCCGUUGGUUCACUCCCCAAAUGGCCACUAUGGCCAGCGUGCUGUGGCGAUCCGAAGCCAGGAGCCAGGUGCUUCCUCCUGGUCUCCCAUGCGGGUACAGGGCCCAACCACUUGGGCCAUCCUCCACUGCCCUCCUGGGUCACAGCAGAGAGCUGGACUGGGAGAGGAGCAACCGGGACAGAAUCCAGCGCCCCGAUGGGAACUAGUACCCGGUGUGCUGGUGCCACAGGUGGAGGAUUAGCCAAGUGAGCUGUGGCGCUGGCCCAGAUUCUGCCUCUGAUGGUUCUGUAUGAUGUUUCUGCAGAUCACUGUAAGGGAGGCGUGGACGUCUGGCACAUGAAGAAAGCCACUUCUAAUUACUGGGCCGCUGUUCUUCAUAGCAGAGCAGGUCUCGGGUGCUCUUGGCUGUACCCUUCUUUAAUGGCGCCUGCCAGGGCCUGGCAGCCUCCAACCUUCACCUGUUGGAAGCAUGUGGGGUCGGCCACCCCUCACCUUGACUUCUGACCUGAAAACCUUUGGUCCUUACAUUCCUUCAAGCUUUAUGGCUUUUCUUUUCUUUUGGGUUUUGCUUUGAAGAUGGAAAAUUUGAACUUUUUGGUUCUGCUGUUUGCUGGGUCCACUCUAGGGGACAGAGCCGCGAGGGGCCAGAAGACCAGCAGUUGGGAAUGUGCUUCUCAUUCAGCCGGGACCCUGGGCUGAGCGUGGGAACGCAGCGGAACUCCCACUGCAGACCUGGGUGGUCGGAGGCCCAGGAACAUGUCCCGAGCUGCACGGGCUGUGAGGAUCCUGCCGCUCUCAGCUGCUAACAUCAUUUGUAGAAGACCUCGGGCUGAGUAUUUCCAAACGCAUAAUUUCAAUGUUUAACGUUCUCAAGUCAUUUUCCUUGACCUACCAUUUUAUUUCACCAGUGCUUAUUAGACACUGAACCUUUGCCAGGCACUCAGACUUCAGGGGAAAAACUAUCAUCAUAAACAUUGUCUUAUGAAGAAUCUGUAACUUUCUUCUGCACACGAUGCCCAAAGCACAUUGUGGGCCUUGCCCCUUGCCAGGGGUGCUGGGGCCAUUCUUGGAGGGCAGAUGAAGGCAGUAAGAUUGAGAAAAAUUCCCAACAAGGCUUCUUGUCCUAGGAUGCCAUUGUGGGGAGCAUAGGUCCGAGGAAGCUGCUGCCACCCAUCUCCCAGCCUGCUUCCAGCGCUCCCUCCAGCACUUUUAACUUCAUGUGACAAUGAAAAGAGAAAGAAUUAAUUUUUUUUUAUUAAACAGGCAGAGUUAGACAGUGAGAGAGAGAGACAGAGAGAAAGGUCUUCCUUCUGUUGGUUCACCCCCCAAAUGGCUGCUACGGCUGGCGCACUGCACUGAUCCGAAGCCAGGAGCCAGGUGCUUCCUCCUGGUCUCCCACGUAGGUACAGGGACCCAAGCACUUGGGCCAUCCUCCACUGCCCUCCCAGGCCCCAGCAGAGAGCUGGACUGGAAGAGGAGCAACUGGGACUAGAACCCAGUGCUCAUAUGGGAUGCCGGCGCCGCAGGUGGAGGAUUAGCCAAGUGAGCCACGGCGUCAGCCCCCAGAAUUAAUUUUUAAAAUAUUUUUAAACAGCCAUUAUUUCUGUUUAUAAAGUUCUGACCAAAAAUUUGUUUUUGUUUUAAAUUUGAGAGGUGGAGAAACACAGAGACAGAGACAGAGACAGACAGAGUCCCAGUCAACGAUUAAAACUGAACCAGGCUGAAGCUGGGAGCUAGCUGUUAGAUGGGUUACAGCCCAAGUGAUCAAGUUAUCAAUAAGGGAAGUACACAUUUUACCUUAUCUGUUAUAUGAGACCCAUGUAAGUUGAACUUUUUAAUUUAACAAUGGUGGAUGCCAAAAUAUGUUCUUUAAAAAUUUGUCAAUGGCUAAGAUUUCCUUAAAUUUUAUAGCCUAAUUUCUUCUUCUUUUUUUUUUUUAAGGGAAAGGAUUUAUUGGGGAAAACUCAACAGACCAGAGGGAAGAGGCGAAGAAGGAAAAGAGGGAGAAGGAGAGCAUAAGAGAGAGAGACAGAGACAGAGAGACAGCCACGUGUUCAGGAACAUGUCCUCUUAAAACUUUGCCAGGGGAUGGGCAGGGCGGUAGGAGCAGUGAAAGCCUCAUUUAUUCAUAAUAUAGCCCACAAAAUCUCAGGAAGAAUCUAGGAAAAAAUAAAUUUUAUUUUAAAGGUGAAAUUUAAAAAAUAUUUAUUUGAAAGGCAGAGUUACAGAGAGGGAGAGACACAGGGAGAGAGACCUCCCACCCACUUGUUCUCUCUCCAAAUGGCCAGAACUGCCAGGGCUGGGCCAGGCCACAGACAGGAGCUGGCAGGUACCCAAGCACUCAGGCCAUCUUCUGCUGCUUUCCCAGCUGCAUUAGCAGGCAGCUGGAUUGGAAGUGCAGUGAGGACUUGAACAAAUGAUCAUAUGGAUUGCCAACAUGGCAGGUGGUGGCUGAACCAACUGUGCCACAAUGUCAGUCCCAAGGUAGAAUAUUUAUAGUGGGCUAUUAGGUAUGGUGGUGGUAGUUUUCUUUCUUUUUUUUUAAGAUUUAUUUAUUUAUUUGAAAGGCAGAGUUUCAGAGAGGCAGAGAGAGACAGGCAGAGAGGUCUUCCAUCCAAUGGUUCACUCCUCAAAUGGCCUCAAUCGCCGGAGCUGUGCUGAUCUGAAGCCAGGAGCCAGGAACUUCUACAGGGUCUCCCACACAGGUUCAGGGGCCCAAGGACUUGGGCCAACUUCUGCUGCUUUCCCAGCCCAUAGCAGAGAGCUGGAUCAGAAGUGGAGCAGCCAGGACUCAAACUGGUGUCCAUAUGGGAUCCCAGCACUGCAGGCAGCAGCUUUACCCGCUACACCACAGCACCGGCACCAAAUAGUGGUGGUAGCUUUUAUCUCUGCAGUGUCGCCUUUUCUAAGUUGAGUUGGAGGCCAUUUUUAAAUGAGAGAGAGAGACAGAUUCUUAUUUCUAACUAUUUCUACCAGAUAUUCCCUUAUCCUACUCCCCAGGAGUAGACUUUCUGGGUAACAACAUGUUGAGAAUGUAAACCUUUUGAAAUGUAUAUACAGAGAACUCCUGGAUUCUGAGAUGUCAUCAUCAAGUUUUUGUCCUGAGCUCUAAUCCAACUGUGUGACCUUGAGCCAACUAAGUACUACAACUCUUAAAUGAGAAGCAUGGCCGUAUACCCCACUGUAUGUGUUAUUCUGGAAAGAACACAAUAAGCCUUGUGAAAUGUGGCGUGUGAUGGGCACAGAUGGCUGUCUGCCCAUCAGCUUUCUUUCACAACCCACGAAUUUUCCAGAAGUACUCUCUUUCCCCAUUGUAGUCUUCAUACCUCCAAGCUAGGCUCAAAUUGUCUCAGCAGGAUCUCGUCACCCCGCCAGGGACAGGCCCAGAAACAGGCCUAUGAACCGGUUCAGAUGAGUGAGGUUCAAGAGGAAGUUUGCUGGAGCGUCUGGAAAACCCCCCACCCCUAAGAGACGGAGAGUCAGCCAUGACCCUUUGGGUGGAUGAAGAAAAGUAUCACGCGUUUCUGCCCCUACAGCGGCCUGUAAGACUUCCUGGGGUCCACUGUGUGCGCAUCUUGAAUCCAGAAUUCCCAGCCUCUUGGGCAUUAAGGCCACGGUUGGUGCUGUUGUUACUCUGAGGAACUAGAGGUGUGGUGGCAGGCGGCCAGAGAACAAGUGUGCAACAGCAACUAUCGACCUUGGCAUCCUUUCCUUCCCAUACAGUCAUCGUGCUUGGUAACAGCUUCACUCCGCGAAUACCAAGAAAGAGGGACUGACCCACUGGCUGAGACCUGACCAAGGUCGUCGUUGAGCCCCAGGCAAGAACCAUCCCUUGGCUACAAUGUGGACCUGGCACCAACGUGGCCCCCUGCAGUCCUUCUAGGGGCUUGAAGUAGUUAAUCUGAGGGUGCCCAUGGCCAGCUUCCGCGGGAGUGAUGGCAGAAGAAAGCCUGAGCAACGGCCGGCAGAGAUGGAGAGCAGGUGGCAGAGCCCUGCCCGGGUCUCUCCAGCCGGUGAUGUACCACAGCUGCCCUUCACUGUCACAUGAGCUACUGCAUUUCCUCCUGCUGCAACAAACUUCAGCUGUUGCAAUCAGUACAGGAAUUCUAAACCUCUAUUUUAAAGCAUCCGUCUAGCUUAGCUGUUCUCUUUGGAAGUUAUUUGCAGCAAACAAGUCAAGUUUGAGAUCUGGGAGGAUCCCCAUAGGAUGCAAUCCCCACACCCUAUCUUGCUACUGGAAGGAGCUUCCUGCGUCUCGGAGCCCUGCUUUGGUGGAGCAGUUGUAACUAUUAAGAGGUCUGAUGCGCAGUCUCACUUCCGGAAGGCUGCACCUCCAGGGGCUCCGGACUACAACGCGGGCGACUUUGGAUCUAUCCAAAGUCUUCAUCAGGUACCUGAUGGGCCCUCCAACGAGGUCCGCACCAGAGAGCCCAGAAAAAGCCUCAGGGGUCUGAAGACGUGCCGGUGGCCCGCAGUUUUGGCUUGCUGUAACCGUCAAGGGCCUGUCUUUCUGACAGCCUGCGCCCAACUGGUUCCUCUUCAUUUUCGGGCGUGUCUGGGAACAAAAAGCCCAGCGCAAGAAGCAUAGCUUGGAGGCUGCAGCUGGGCUACCUGCUGUUUAUUUCCUCCGGCACGAACGAGCGAGCGUGAGAGCUCUGGCUCCACCUCUUGAGAGCUGCGUGACGAGGACUCAGCCACAUACCUUCUCUGAACCCGGGUUUCCUAGCUGUAAACGGGGCCAUAAUAAAUGGCCUGGGUUCGGAGCACGGGUGGAGUUCAAAGUAGAGGGUUGUUCCGUCGUUAACAAGCAACUUUUACAUUUACCCUCGAUGACCCCAGAAGCCUGCAGGUGCGAGCACUUGCGACCAGGCUAAUCGAAUGCCUCCCGCCUCUUUCCCUGCUCCCCCUUGCCCCCAGCCUCGCGGAGAUCACCGAUUUUUCAGGGGUCUUGCAAAUGCGGUGCUAAGCACCAGCCGAAAAGAGAGGGCACGGCGGGCAGGAAGACAACCGUGUGCCAAGCGCCCCUGGCGUCCCUUUGGGAAGGAAGCGCCCCGCCCCGAGCGCACGCACUCCGCGAACGCGCAGAGAGAGCCCUGCGUGCGGAGGGUGCACCGUGCGCUCCCCGCCCGGCCAGCUGGUGGGAGCCGGGGGCUCGCUUCGCGGGCCGGCCGGGCGCGGCAGUGCGUGCGCCGACUAGGGCGGUGGCGGCCGGCACCCCGCCCUCGGCCGCCGUCCCAGUCGCCGCCUCGGCGUGUCAGGUGCCGUGAGAAGCGCCCAGGGAUAUGACUGCUGCCGACUUCCCAGAAGCGGCGCACGCAAGGCACAGCUCCGCACGCAAAGGGGAGGUGACAGCAGGGGAAACUUUUCAACCCGAUCAAGUUCGCAGGCGCACGGAGGC